ACUCUGCAGGCAGCUGUCUCCUCCCAGCACCCAGGACCUGAACUCAGAAACUACCAGCAACACAGACGAACUCCGGGUGAGGACGACAAGAGCUGAGCUCGGGUGCUUGCCUUCUGCACUCUCGGGAGGAGGCACCAGCAUGGGCACCCUUCACAGUUCGGGCCCCUCACUCACAAACGUCUGGCACAUGGAAACAAGCUGGCAAAAAGAUUGUUUUUUUCUUCUGUACUUUUUGUUAUAAGCCUGUGGUGAAGUGUCCAUAUCUGGCAUAAAUGAAUGUGAGUGGUCUUGGGAAUCUAAAUAUAACAUGUUUCUAAGUUACACACAGCAUAAAUGAGUGUUUAUGAGUGGUCUUGGGAAUCUAAAUAUAAUACAUUUCUAAAUUACAACCAACCAACUUACAGGGGGCAUUUUGGUCUUUAACCUGUUUAUUAAAUCAGACACUGCCUGAACUUUCCUCUGAAGGAAGAGAGGAAUGAGUAUUUACUGAAUGCUAAUUAAGUGCUACUCACAUUACUGGAAUGCUUCUCUCUGAUCCACCAGCCCCAGGAGAAAGGCCCUGUCCUCAUUUUGCAAGCGAGGAAAUGGAGGCUCAGAGGAAAGGGUUUAUCUUCCCCCUGGGCUCGGCAGAACCAACAGCCAGCCCCAACUCCACCCCAAAGCCUGGAUGUGGCCGUGGCUCCAGAGUGGGCCGCCCCUUUCACCAUCUGUGCAUACUGGGUCGGAGCUGAAAUCUGUGAUCACCCUUCUGAGCCCUACCCCAAGGACACUGAAUCAUGUGGUCAGGCUCCCAGCUCAGCACAGCCCUGACUAUCAGCUCCAUGUGUUUAGCAGCCUGGCCCCAGAAUCAAAGCCACUGUUGAGGACACUCAGUAUGAAGGAGACCACUUCAGGCCAGUGACAGAUUCUCUCCUGGACCAAACUCGACUGAGGCUCCCCUGAGCCCUCUUCUCAACUAGGCCUCAACCCUGGCCUAGAAAGACUUGGACAAACACUAGCAUGGCUUCUCAUAGCUCAAGGCCGCAUCCCUAGGUGACCCCAGCCACCUUGGGUGUCCUUGGGAGGCAAUCCCAAGGACACACAAGGCUGCCAAACAAGUUUGCCAUUUGCUCCAGCCAACACCCAGAGAUCGGGCCCCUGUGCCCCAGUCUGUGAGGGAGGCUGUUAACAAACCCAGGUGGGUUUCUCAUGGACCAAGCCCGCUCUGCUGUUUGUAGUUUUCCACUUCUCUGACCCCACUGAGCCCUGGUCACCCCUGCCCAAUUCUCUCACUCUCCCUUUAAAACGCCCAGUCUCUACUGCACAAAUCAAACUGGAGUUCAGUCUGGGCUGGGCCUUCUCCCUAUUGCAAUAGAUAUUACAAUCCUUCUUUACCACUUAACUAGCAUCUGGCUUGGUUUAUUUUUGAGACCAACAGCUGGGGCAGGUGGAGCUGCCCCUCGGUGACAGUCCCUCUUAAUACUCCACUGCCUACCCCACCCUCGCUGCUGUUCUGCUGCCUACACCUUAACACUGGCCCUCAGAACCACUCGACUCGCCCCCAGUUACCCGCAGCCUCCUGACUUCUGCCUCUUCCACAGCCCUUCCUGGAUGUCCACUUCUCAUUUCCAGGAGGAAAAUAGGAGUUGCCUGAGUUGGGCUGAGGCAUGAAAUAGAAAAGUAUUUGG
rnacentral:lncRNA from 1 species